GACGAACCGUGCGAACGUUGUUCGGAAUCACUGGGCUUAAAGGGCGCGUAGGCGGCCCGCCAAGUCCGGGGUGAAAUACUCCAGCUUAACUGGAGAAGUGCCUUGGAAACUGGCGGGCUCGAGCGAGGUAGGGGUGAUGGGAACUUCCGGUGGAGCGGUGAAAUGCGUUGAUAUCGGAAGGAACGCCGGUGGCGAAAGCGCAUCACUGGACCUCUUCUGACGCUGAGGCGCGAAAGCCAGGGGAGCAAACGGG
rnacentral:rRNA from 1 species